AGAGAGUGCAAAUGUUAGAGGGUCAAGUCAACUAUUAUGUCUCAUAGUAUACACACACACAAGCAGAUUUUGCAAUGGGCUGAAUGGGGGGUUGAGUGUUUAUGUAAAUUCUGCGUGUUUUAAUGAGCGUGCGCUGAACAUUGGAGUAGCGUUCAUUCAAACACUGGAGCGGAGGGAGUUGCCAUGGAAACGGGGCGAUCGACAACACUGUCAAGCUGCAGCUCUGUUUCUUGCUGCUGUUUUCACUGCUUUCGAUUCUGCUAGUGUUUGAUGGCCUUCUGCAUCCCAGAGUCUGAGCAAACCUCCUGUCCAACAUCUCCAAGGCACACUGAACUAUAUGACUAGCAGGAAAGAGAACAAAGUUUACCUGUCGGAGAGCAAUGGGCAAACAACAAACGAUAAAAGACAUUCCUACUUAGUCUUGACUGUAUGGAGAUGUACUCCGUGAAUAUCUUCUUUGCUCUGGUUGCCAUUUUGGACAGUGAUUUGAUCCUCUUGAAGUCCUCACAGGCCAACCAAAAGUCCAGAUUCUCUUCACUAAACUCUGUUUGCAGGAAGGAGCGGAAAACCACUGGCCCAUCUGAAGAAGGGGAGAAAAGAAUACUCUAAUGCUUAUUAGAAAACGCAGAAUAAGUGCUGAAGAGAAUCUGGGGUAAAUCUGGAUUUGGAUCCAGGAGCAGAGGUUAAUGUGGAUAAAAUGCAUGGUUUAAAACAGCAGUAACGGCUGCUCCGGUGCAGAGAUCAACACAGCUGUCAUAUUGAAUGAGACAUAUCUUACAUUUGUGAGAAAGCAGUGAAUCAAGUGACUCUGCCCAUCUGAGAGCUUCCUCUGGAAUCGGUCUGUAGAUGAGCAGACAGAGCGGUCAACAAAGCCAUGACUCACACUAAUGACCCAUUCACAGAUAAUUAUAGCGCACAAAAUAGGCCAUCUACUCAAUAACUCAAAAACAUCACUGUUGUUUUGAUUGCACACUCAACAAUCAUACAUCAAAGCUCAGCUGAAUGACUCUCAAUACUUAAAAACGAUGAUAUGGAUAUGACACACAACGCAGUGUGCCGGGGGUCUGUUCGGGUGAAAGAGGAAACAAUCACGUGGACUCACUUGUCUGACUUGAGGACUUUCUCAAGCUUGCUGGCUGGAUUGCUUCCAUGUCUGUCGUUGGUCUUCUUCCGCAGAAAAGUCAGUCGGUUUUUCAUGUCUUUGGCCCUGUGUGACGAGACAAAAGGCGUCACAUCAGACUCUAAUUCUGACGGCACCCAUUCACUGCAGAGGAUCCACUGGUGAGCAAGAGAUGUAAUGCUACAUUUCUGCAGAUUUUUGGCAAUGAUCAAACUCAUCUGCUUCUUGGGUGGCCAGAAGUGAAGAGCAGGCAGAUCUGGUGGACGGAUCCUCCGUUCUUGGUGAGCUCUUUCCUCAGGGUCUGCGGGGAGGGAACCGCCCAGCGCUCUGAAGGUUCCCGCUUGGCCUCUAUGCAGUCAAUGGCCUGAUCAGAGAUGAA